UGGUAGCGGAGCGUAGUGUGACAUAGAUUCUAUCCUCUUUAGUCGUCUUUGACGGCCUUGGAGGAUUGAGAAUCUUUCUGUGAAGCCGGGCUGUAAGGCAUCCGGUGGAGAGAUCACUAGUGAGAAUGAUGACAUGAGUAGCGACAAAGAGUGUGAGAGACACUCUCGCCGAAAGUCCAAGGGUUCCUGCUUAAAGCUAAUCUGAGCAGGGUAAGCCGACCCCUAAGUCGAGGCCGAAAGGCGUAGACGAUGGGAACCAGGUUAAUAUUCCUGGGCCAGGAAGAUGUGACGGAUCGUGAAGGUUGUUCACCCUUAUUGGAUUGGGUGGGCCGCUAAUCGGUUCCUGGAAAUAGCCUUCCAUCAGAUCGUACCCUAAACCGACACAGGUGGACUGGUAGAGAAUACCAAGGCGCUUGAGAGAACUAUGUUGAAGGAACUCGGCAAAAUACCUCCGUAAGUUCGCGAGAAGGAGGCCCAGUUUCUACGCAAGUAUUGACUGGGGGCACAAACCAGGGGGUGGCGACUGUUUACUAAAAACACAGGGCUCUGCGAAGUCGCAAGACGACGUAUAGGGUCUGACGCCUGCCCGGUGCCUGAAGGUUAAAAGGAGAUGUGAGAGCGUCGAAUUGAAGCCCAGGUAAACGGCGGCCGUAACUAUAACGGUCCUAAGGUAGCGAAAUUCCUUGUCGGGUAAGUUCCGACCUGCACGAAUGGCGUAACGACUUCCCCACUGUCUCCAACAUAGACUCAGCGAAAUUGAAUUGCCUGUCAAGAUGCAUGCUUCCCGCGGUUAGACAGAAAGACCCCGUGCACCUUUACUACAACUUCGCACUGGCAUCACGCACAGCAUGUGCAGGAUAGGUGGUGGGCUUUGAAGCAGUAACGCCAGUUAUUGUGGAGCCUCCCUUGAGAUACCACCCUUGUUCUGCUUGAUGUCUAACUGCGGUCCAUUAUCUGGAUCCAGGACCCUGCGUGGUGGGUAGUUUGACUGGGGCGGUCGCCUCCUAAAGAGUAACGGAGGCGCGCGAAGGUUGGCUCAGAGCGGUCGGACAUCGCUCGUUGAGUGCAAUGGCAGAAGCCAGCCUGACUGCGAGACUGACAAGUCGAGCAGAGUCGAAAGACGGCCAUAGUGAUCCGGUGGUCCCGCGUGGAAGGGCCAUCGCUCAACGGAUAAAAGGUACGCCGGGGAUAACAGGCUGAUACUGCCCAAGAGUCCAUAUCGACGGCAGUGUUUGGCACCUCGAUGUCGGCUCAUCUCAUCCUGGGGCUGGAGCAGGUCCCAAGGGUACGGCUGUUCGCCGUUUAAAGAGGUACGUGAGCUGGGUUUAGAACGUCGUGAGACAGUUCGGUCCCUAUCUGCCGUGGGUGUAGGAUACUUGAGAGGAGUUGCCCCUAGUACGAGAGGACCGGGGUGAACGAUCCACUGGUGGACCUGUUGUUGCGCCAGCAGCAGUGCAGGGUAGCUAUGAUCGGACAGGAUAACCGCUGAAGGCAUCUAAGCGGGAAGCCCCCCUCAAAACAAGGUAUCCCUGAGAGCCGUGGAAGACCACCACGUCGAUAGGCCGGAGAUGUAAGCAUGGUAACAUGUUCAGUUGACCGGUACUAAUGGCUCGAUAGGCUUGGUUUG
rnacentral:rRNA from 1 species